ACAGAGGGUGCGAGCGUUAAUCGGAAUUACUGGGCGUAAAGCGUGCGUAGACGGCUAUCUAAGUCGGGUGUGAAAGCCCCGGGCUCAACCUGGGAAUUGCAUUCGAGACUGAAUAGCUAGGGUACGGUAGAGGGAAGUGGAAUUUCCGGUGUAGCGGUGAAAUGCGUAGAUAUCGGAAGGAACAUCAGUGGCGAAAGCGACUUCCUGGACCAAUACUGACGCUCAUGUGCGAAAGCGUGGGGAGCAAACAGGA
rnacentral:rRNA from 1 species